UUUAUGGAGAGUUUGAUCCUGGCUCAGGAUGAACGCUGGCGGCGUGCCUAAUACAUGCAAGUCGAGCGAACGGACGAGAAGCUUGCUUCUCUGAUGUUAGCGGCGGACGGGUGAGUAACACGUGGAUAACCUACCUAUAAGACUGGGAUAACUUCGGGAAACCGGAGCUAAUACCGGAUAAUAUUUUGAACCGCAUGGUUCAAAAGUGAAAGACGGUCUUGCUGUCACUUAUAGAUGGAUCCGCGCUGCAUUAGCUAGUUGGUAAGGUAACGGCUUACCAAGGCAACGAUGCAUAGCCGACCUGAGAGGGUGAUCGGCCACACUGGAACUGAGACACGGUCCAGACUCCUACGGGAGGCAGCAGUAGGGAAUCUUCCGCAAUGGGCGAAAGCCUGACGGAGCAACGCCGCGUGAGUGAUGAAGGUCUUCGGAUCGUAAAACUCUGUUAUUAGGGAAGAACAUAUGUGUAAGUAACUGUGCACAUCUUGACGGUACCUAAUCAGAAAGCCACGGCUAACUACGUGCCAGCAGCCGCGGUAAUACGCAGGUGGCAAGCGUUAUCCGGAAUUAUUGGGCGUAAAGCGCGCGUAGGCGGUUUUUUAAGUCUGAUGUGAAAGCCCACGGCUCAACCGUGGAGGGUCAUUGGAAACUGGAAAACUUGAGUGCAGAAGAGGAAAGUGGAAUUCCAUGUGUAGCGGUGAAAUGCGCAGAGAUAUGGAGGAACACCAGUGGCGAAGGCGACUUUCUGGUCUGUAACUGACGCUGAUGUGCGAAAGCGUGGGGAUCAAACAGGAUUAGAUACCCUGGUAGUCCACGCCGUAAACGAUGAGUGCUAAGUGUUAGGGGGUUUCCGCCCCUUAGUGCUGCAGCUAACGCAUUAAGCACUCCGCCUGGGGCGUACGACCGCAAGGUUGAAACUCAAAGGAAUUGACGGGGACCCGCACAAGCGGUGGAGCAUGUGGUUUAAUUCGAAGCAACGCGAAGAACCUUACCAACUCUUGACAUCCUUUGACAACUCUAGAGAUAGAGC
rnacentral:rRNA from 1 species